rnacentral:rRNA from 1 species
AGUGAACGCUGGCGGUAGGCCUAACACAUGCCAGUCGAACGGCAGCACAGUAAGAGCUUGCUCUUACGGGUGGCGAGUGGCGGACGGGUGAGGAAUACGUCGGAAUCUACUUUUUCGUGGGGGAUAACGUAGGGAAACUUACGCUAAUACCGCAUACGACCUACGGGUGAAAGCAGGGGAUCUUCGGACCUUGCGCGAUUGAAUGAGCCGAUGUCGGAUUAGCUAGUUGGCGGGGUAAAGGCCCACCAAGGCGACGAUCCGUAGCUGGUCUGAGAGGAUGAUCAGCCACACUGGAACUGAGACACGGUCCAGACUCCUACGGGAGGCAGCAGUGGGGAAUAUUGGACAAUGGGCGCAAGCCUGAUCCAGCCAUACCGCGUGGGUGAAGAAGGCCUUCGGGUUGUAAAGCCCUUUUGUUGGGAAAGAAAAGCAGCAGGUUAAGACCCCGCUGUUCUGACGGUACCCAAAGAAUAAGCACCGGCUAACUUCGU